UACGUAGGGUGCGAGCGUUGUCCGGAAUUACUGGGCGUAAAGAGCUCGUAGGUGGUUUGUCGCGUUGUUCGUGAAAACUCACAACUCAAUUGUGGGCGUGCGGGCGAUACGGGCAGACUGGAGUACUGCAGGGGAGAACGGAAUUCCUGGUGUAGCGGUGAAAUGCGCAGAUAUCAGGAGGAACACCGGUGGCGAAGGCGGCCUUCUGGACAGUGACUGACGCUGAGACGCGAAAGCGUGGAGAGCAAACGAGG
rnacentral:rRNA from 1 species